ensembl:lncRNA
AUGUUUAUGGUUUAUGUUUGUUUUCUACCACAUACAGACAGUUUUUCAGAUGAGUCUGUAUCUGUUGCUGAAAGAGUCAAAAUGAACAGGAGAGAAUCUGUAACUGUAACUGAAACUCUCACUGAAAAGAUCACAGAACCAGUAGAAUCUACUGCUAGUGCUAGAGAUUCACCUGCACCUCCCACUGAUGAUACAGAACCUGCAGUAUCAAGGCAACUGAGGGAGUCAAUUAGAGAGGUGACACAGACAGAGUCCUGGAAAAGAUUGUUUUCCAAGAGUCUGGAAAUACCUGUUUGUCGAAUUGAACAGGAAACUUUCCAGCUGGACAGAUCUUCAGAUGAGUCUGUAUCUGUUGCUGAAAAAGUCAAAAUGGCACAGAACAGUAAAAAGAUCACAGAACGGGUAAAAUCUACUGCCAAUGCUAGAGAUUCAUCUGCACCUCCCACUGAUGCUACAGAACCUGCAGUAUCUCCUGUCAUAGAGGAGGCCAGUCAGACCACAGAUGAAGCAGCAGCUCAGCUGAACUUCAGUGAUUCUCCUGCUGACUGGCAGAAUCCUGUUGUUUCUGAAGAGACUGAGAAGACCAGCCAGAUGCAGCUAUUUGAAUUUCUGGCAAACCAGUUUAAUACUAUCAAUAACACCCUACAAUCAAUUGAUUUGUCUUUAAAGAAGCUGGUGGAAAAACAGUCACAAAACACACUGCCUCAAUACAUCAGUCUAACUCCUGCUGUUAUUGAAAAUCCCCAGAUUAACUCCUUAGUCAAGAAGGAGCAAAUUACGGAAGUUUUAAAUAGUCAAGUAGACUAAAGUUUGACACCGAACAAAUUAGGGGUAAUACUGAGGCUAUGAUUAAAAGUAUAUAUAUCUUCAUUAGACAAUUAUUACACAAGUUUGGUUUUAAUGCGCAAUAGCCAAGAAAAUUAACACCUUUUGGUAAACUUUUUUUACUGUUUUUGUCACAUAUUUAAAAUGUGAAAAUCUCAGUUUUAUUUUAUUUCAGGUUUUUUUUUUUUUUCGUGUCAUUUUCCAGAAACAAAACUGCAUUGAGGUUUCAAUCCACAUAGACUCAUCAUAAAACCAUGAAAAAUUUACAGUAAACUAUAAAUGUUCCUGUUUUGUCUCUGGGUCAGGUUAUUAACAGGCAAAUGUACCUAUAAUCACUUUUGAUCACUCAUAAUCAGCUUUAUUAAUUAGAUAUCAUUACAAUGUAUAAAAAAUGUUAAUAUUCUGGGACCCUACAUAGAAUAAGUUGUUUGGAGGAUGGAUGGAUAGGAUAUUUCUUAUUUGAGGAUUGCUGUACAGCUACAAUCUUUCCAUUGCAGCAGGCAUUGUUUUUCUCAAUAUGGGAUGCAGGUGGCAGUGUUGUACAGAACCUCUGUUUUUCUGUUAUUCUUUAUAGACCUUUCACUGUCAAUGUCCAGAUACCUUAAAAGUAAGAUGUGUCAUUUCUGUGAUUGCAAAAAUAAAAUAGUUUUAAACAGUCUGACCA